AUACGGAGGGGGUUAGCGUUGUUCGGAAUUACUGGGCGUAAAGCGCACGUAGGCGGACUGGAAAGUUGGGGGUGAAAUCCCGGGGCUCAACCCCGGAACUGCCUCCAAAACUUCCAAUCUAGAGAUCGAGAGAGGUAAGUGGAAUUCCUAGUGUAGAGGUGAAAUUCGUAGAUAUUAGGAGGAACACCAGUGGCGAAGGCGGCUUACUGGCUCGAUACUGACGCUGAGGUGCGAAAGCGUGGGGAGCAAACAGAAUUAGAUACCCUUGUAGUCC
rnacentral:rRNA from 1 species